AGAAGCUAAAGGGAAGAGAAGAAGCAGAAACAUUUGGAAACAGCAAGGAAAGGGACAGAUGUAUUUCUGAAGACAGUUUCUCCUCCCUGAAGAUCUCCAAAUAGCCAAUACUACUUUGGGGGAGGAAGAGAUCAAGAGUCAAUGAAACUCUGAAACUCACACUCCUUCAUCCCUAAUGAUUUAAGUGUCCCGGAUUAGAUCAGUCCUCAUCUGGAUCCUACUUGGAAAUCCACAUGGAGAUGGAGUCAUAGUUUCUGCCCUUGGGGUAGAGCUCAGGCUGAAGUAGUGGACAGGUUACAGACUUCGAAAUUCCAUCCUAAAUUCUAAGACUCCUACGAGGAAUCUAGUAAUAAAGAUGAGGAAGAUACACAAUCUGCCUGAUAGUAUUAUGGCUCUUAGGAGCUUGUGGGGGGGGUAAUAGAAAGGUAGGGAAAGUAGGAAAGGGUGUGUGUGUGCCUGCUUGCAUGUGCACAGGUGUGUGUGUGUGUGUGUGUGUGUUUGUGUGUUUCCCAGGCAGAGAGAUGAGCCUAUAUCAGUGGUUCUUAACCUUAAAUGCACAUUUAGAAACACCAACGGGCCUUUUAAAUGAUACUGAUGCCUAGGCCUCAUUCUCAGACACUCUGGGAUACGCUGGACCCAAAUAUCGGUAUUUUUAAAAAAGUUUCCUAGGUGAUUUUACUGCAUAACCAAGUUGAGAAUCCCUGGUCUGGAAGAAAGCAAAUAAGAAAAAUUUCAGGGGUUAAGCCUGAGCAGCUGGAGGAAGGGGCAAUGCCAGGCCCCCUGGAGAAGGGAAUGAAGAGGGAGGAGAAGGACAAACAUAUAACCUCCCCUCUCCUAGGAGUUCCCAAUGGCCCCAUGCCUGGCCUGGAGACCGACUUAGGUGUUGGGCCUGUCUCUUCUGUGCUGUGGGAGCUCAAACCAUUCCAAGGCAAUGAGAUGAACUUUCCCCCCACCCCAGUCCCUUGUGCAGAGACAGGGAAUGGGUGCAAUGACCCUGAGGGCGUGCUGUUCUCCUUCACCCAGAAGGUCCCCAGGGAGGCAGUUGUGGAAGGUAAACAGCAACAAUGGUCUCUUUCAGUGUCCAGAUUCCAACCCUUCAGUCCAAUUAGCAGACACAGCAAACAGCAAUUCAGCUGCCUUCAGCCGCUGUCAUAACAAACUCAGAGCAGCCUUAAUGGGGGGAUUAGGGCAAGAGGAGGGGGGGGUGUCAUUCUGAGCCCUGGGAGAGCCUGGGUGGCAAGGAAGGGUUCCCCUUUUUCUCUUACCUCUCUCCUAUCUAAAUAUGCCCUGGCCCACACUUACCUUCCACAGCCCUGUUCCUCAUUCUCCUCAAAGUUCUGAGAAUGUUUCUAUGGUUUCGUCUACUCUUUCCCUCCAAUGAUUUUAAAGCAUUAACCUAAACUCAUUUAACAGCUAAGGAAGUUGGUACACCCUGCCUCCGAAUGAGACAGUGUUCUAACCACUCAAGAUCUCUGAGGUCUCAAUAGCAAAGGAAGGAAGAUGGAAAGGUCAAAGGUCCCCAGAACAUCACUGUGGAAAGGAGGUGAAGAAAUAAAUAUCAGUAUUCCAACUCCCAAACCUUGGGAAGUACAGGCCUCAGAAGGACUUCCAGAUGUGGAAGAAUGCAGAGGGGCCUGUGCUCUCUGUAGGAAUAGGUGGAUGUAGCAAGAUCCGAAGAACAGAACUAAAAAUUCUUGGACACAGAAACGUGAUGAUACAAAAGAGAAAUUGGUAAGGCCCUUCUGUGCCCCUUUCAACCCAGCCUCCACGCAUCCCCAUUCCAUCGGUUCUCCUAUUGGGUUUAGCUGGAGGAAAUGCUAUCUGGUAUAAAGGUUGGGGGAGGCAGAAGGCAGGACUCAGUGGUGUCACUGUGAUGUCUGCAUUUGGUAAAACCCUCCAGAUCCCAGAGUGUCUCUUCCUCUAGUGGCUUUAUAGCUAUAUGUAGCCAGGAAUCCCUAAUCUCACAUCUGAGCUUCCUACCCACCAUGGAUCACGCACAUCCAAUCUCAUACCAGGUCACACAUCACUCGGUUUCUCACCCUCAUAAGCAGACAUACACGGCCCACAGAUACUGUCACCCAUCAUUCUCCUGACAACCCUAUCCACACACCCACACACCGUAUGUACGCAUGAGGCAGACAAAAACCCUCACUCCCACAUCGCUCCUGCCUCCUAUUCCCCCUUUCCAUUGAGGUGCUUGUUUUGUAGGAGGUAAACCCUCAACCCACCAGUGCCCUCAGGCCCUCUAUUCUCCUUCGGAGAUCCUGUGGUCCAACGCAUUAAUGGGAUACAACAAUAAUAAUAUAAAGCCAAAUGGUGUGGCUAAUAAUAUAGGUUUGAAGUCUCCUGUGGAUGAGCAGAUCAGCAGAUCUGCUCAGCAGAUCCCAAAUACACAUUUCCAGCUAACUACAUGAAAAGUUAAAAAAAAAAAAGUCAGCCCAUGCUCACAACCAGGCCUUGCAUCUCACAGUGGGGUUUCCCUCUCCGCUGAUGCACAGAUUCCCUCCCUUCUUAGCUCAUUCCCAUCUCAGUCUACCUACUUCACCCUCUCUAGUCCUUCCCUCAGGCAAGCAUGGUAGAGUAGAGAAGUAGAGAAAGUAUUGGAUUUGAAACCACUGAGUGACAUUAGCAACUCAUUUGAAUGCGUAGCUCCUGUUUGUAAAAUGCGGUUAAUAACAGCGACCUCACAGUGUUGGAGGAUCAAAGGAAGGCACCUAGGCAGAGUGCUGUCACUGGGAAAUACGGUGUGGUGUUAGGGAUUAAUAGUGCCUGCCCCAAACCCACUCCCUUUCUUCCUAAUCCUGUCUCCAGCUGCACACCCCCGCUCCAAAAAACCAGAUUUCAAACAGCUGAAAAAAGCAAAAAGGCCGUUAAUCUCUCUUUCCUCCAAACCAGGAAGAAGACAUAGGCACUCUGGACUCUCGGAAGCCCAAUUGUUUUAGUUUGAAUUCCCAAAUAUUUCUCCCAUGUAAUAUAUAAUUGAAUCAUAAUCUUGUAGCUAUAAAAUCAGCUCCUGGGAGGAAAUUUUAAAUUUACACAGGCAAAGGGAGUCAGUACGAGGUCAUUUGUCCAGUGGUCCUGCCCUGUGUUCUGGAAUGCGGGGGGUGGGUGGAGGGAUGGGGGGGGAGUUGUCGGGAUGGGGAGAAGUAAUAAAUGCAGAGGGGCCCACUUCUAGUUUUGCCACAGUUACAUUUAUUCUACCAAGUGACUAGACCAUCCUCCACUCAACUGUACCUAAACACCCUUUUGCUUAAAAUAUUUAGGUCAGGCCAGAUAAAUGGAUUCUUUUAGGAAA